rnacentral:rRNA from 1 species
GACGAACGCUGGCGGCGUGCUUAACACAUGCAAGUCGAACGGAAAGGCCUCUUUCGGGGGGUACUCGAGUGGCGAACGGGUGAGUAACACGUGAGUAACCUGCCCUUGACUUUGGGAUAACUUCAGGAAACUGGGGCUAAUACCGGAUAGGAGCUCCUGCUGCAUGGUGGGGGUUGGAAAGUUUCGGCGGUUGGGGAUGGACUCGCGGCUUAUCAGCUUGUUGGUGGGGUAGUGGCUUACCAAGGCUUUGACGGGUGGCCGGCCUGAGAGGGUGACCGGCCACAUUGGGACUGAGAUACGGCCCAGACUCCUACGGGAGGCAGCAGUGGGGAAUAUUGCACAAUGGGUGGAAGCCUGAUGCAGCAACGCCGUGUGCGGGAUGACGGCCUUCGGGUUGUAAACCGCUUUCGCUCAUGACGAAGCUUUGUGUGACGGUAGUGGGUAAAGAAGCACCGGCUAACUACGUG